CCGCUGGACACAACUGUAUGCACGCAGCUCAAUUGUGCUCGUCUUCUCUACCUUGUUGUCCAGGGCUAUAAUCAGACGACCCCGAGGCGAAAGCGACGAAAGAAACGUGUGACUCCAAGCAUGGCUGAACUCAAGAUUUGAUCGAAUAAAUAUGGAAAAACAAUUUUGUGAACCCUGCAGCCUCACGUCUCCCAAGAUGAUGCAGACUUUCACAAUCCAUUGGAAUCCACUGCAGAAGCACCCAGCGGAUGUCAAAUAGGGAUGAGGUUUUGACGCUGGAUUAGUUCGGAUGUCGUGGCCGAAAUCGUACUGGGUGGUGGAAUGUUUGUCCAAGGACAAGGUACCGUUGCAACAGGAAGACACAAUACAGUGGAAUCUCAGUUCUCGACCACAAUCCGUUCCAGAAGGCGGUUCGAGAACCGAUAUCUUCGAAAACCCAAUUGAUAUUUCCCACGUCUGCGUACUGAGGCAGCGUUAGACACAAUAACAACGCGCGUCGUGGAUCGGCUGGUCUUGCCGCGCGGGUUAGGUUAUUUCCGGAUCUUGUCGCAGGCGUUCGAGAACAGGAUUUAAAAAAAAAAAAAAAACUCAAAAUUUUCAUCUGGAAACCGAUUUGUCUGAGAACUGAUACGUUCGAAAACAGAGUAUUCACUGCACAUACGCUCAAGUAGGUGUUGAGAUUAUUGUACUCUCUCAUUUGAAAAAAAUAAAAGUUUAAU